rnacentral:lncRNA from 1 species
AAGGUACGUGUCCUCUCCAGCAAGCCCCAGAUGCCAAAGUUUCCAUUGGAAAACCUGCACGUGUCAGGGACCACCAAACAAUUCUUGCAAACCCAGACCCUCUGCGGCCAGGGUCGGGUGAUGGGGAGGAGCUGCGAGGAUUAGUUGCCGUUGAAGGGGGCUCCGCCAAUGAAAUCUUCUCUGCGCUCUGAUUUGGCGGUUCUUCGGUGCAAAUAUGACAGCUUUCUCUCUCAGCUCUUUUCUGCAUCUCUCCAUGUCCGACCCCGGAGCCCAGUUCUCGGUCUGCAAUUUCUACACCACAACCUUUGCAAUCACCACCACCACCACCCCUAGGUCCCAUGUCAGCAGGUGCCAGGUUGCUACAAAGGUGACAGGGCACAUUGGGAAGAAGGCUUGUUGAUUGCAGAAGAUACUUAUGCCCCGUGUUUCCAGGUGGGGAAAUGUUAGAAUAAAUGUACUUUGUACUAAAUAUAUAGUCAUGGAGAAUUGUUCAGAUUGUUUAUUUCUUUCUUUGAUGCUAACUAAUGUAUUAGAAAGAAACAGAUAUUUAUCUGUCUUUGCUGUUUUUUUUUCUUUCUUCCCAAACAGGUCGAUGCCUGUGUGUUCCAUCAGUUAAUGGGGAGUAGUAGUUAAGAGAGUGUACUAGUGAGGUGUUGGUGAGGUGGGAUUUUGCUGUCUAUCGAGGAAAAUAAAAGAUGUGAACUUCCUGUGUUCAGAGCAUGGACUAAUUUUUGCCUUCAUUUAUUUUAAUGAGAAAUUCUUUCCCAGAUUUAUACCCAUUGUUUGAAAGUAUGGAACUUAUUUGAUAAUAUCAUAAUGUGAUUAUUCUAAGGUGUCGUUGAGGACAAUUGCUCUUGAUGAUGUAUAUUGUAUCUGAUGACAUAAAUAUGUGCUACCGAAUGAGGCUUUCAUUGCCAAAUAGAAUUAAAGAAGGAGUCAUUGGAACCUUAAACUAAGUAA